rnacentral:rRNA from 1 species
UACGGAGGGUGCAAACGUUGCUCGGAAUCAUUGGGCGUAAAGCGUGUGUAGGCGGCCUGUUAAGUCGGGUGUGAAAGCCCUGGGCUCAACCCAGGAAGUGCAUUCGAAACUGGCAGGCUCGAGUACGGGAGAGGGUCGCGGAAUUCUCGGUGUAGAGGUGAAAUUCGUAGGAUAUCGGGAGGGAACACCAGUGGCGAAGGCGGCGACCUGGACCGAUACUGACGCUAGACACGAAAGCGUGGGGAGCAAACAGG